rnacentral:rRNA from 1 species
UACAGAGGUGGCAAGCGUUGUUCGGAAUUACUGGGCGUAAAGGGCGCGUAGGCGGUUCGUUAAGUCCUGUGUGAAAUCCCCCGGCUUAACCUGGGAACUGCAUCCGAUACUGGAUGGCUUGAAUCCGGGAGAGGGAUGCAGAAUUCCAGGUGUGAGCGGUGAAAUGCGUAGAUAUCUGGAGGAAUACCGGUGGCGAAGGCGGCAUCCUGGACCGGCAUUGACGCUGAUGAGCGAAAGCUAGGGGAGCAACGGG